rnacentral:rRNA from 1 species
CCCGCUUCGCCUUCUGCACACAGCCUGCGCCGCCGCCGCCGCCGCCGUCCGCUCUACCCCAGGUAAGGAAGGGAGGAGCGGCGAUGUCGCACCGCAAGUUCGAGCACCCGAGGCACGGUUCCCUCGGCUUCCUCCCCAGGAAGCGCUGCUCUCGCCACCGCGGAAAGGUGAAGGCCUUCCCCAAGGAUGACCAACAGAAGCCUUGCCACCUCACUGCCUUCCUGGGCUACAAGGCUGGAAUGACCCACAUUGUUCGUGAGGUCGAGAAGCCUGGAUCUAAGCUCCACAAGAAGGAAACCUGUGAGGCUGUUACCAUCAUUGAGACCCCUCCUCUGGUCAUUGUUGGUCUUGUGGCCUAUGUGAAGACCCCUUGUGGCCUUCGCACUCUCAACUCUGUCUGGGCUCAGCACCUUAGCGAAGAUGUGAGGAGAAGGUUCUACAAGAACUGGUGCAAGAGCAAGAAGAAGGCGUUCACAAAGUAUGCCCUCAAGUAUGACUGUGAUGCGGGCAAGAAGGAAAUCCAGUUGCAGCUUGAGAAAAUGAAGAAGUAUGCCACUAUUGUCCGUGUUAUUGCCCAUACUCAGAUUAGGAAGAUGAAAGGCUUGAAACAGAAGAAGGCUCACCUCAUGGAGAUCCAGAUUAAUGGUGGCACCAUCGCAGACAAGGUUGACUAUGGCUACAAGUUCUUUGAGAAGGAAGUCCCAGUUGAAGCGGUCUUCCAGAAAGAUGAAAUGGUUGACAUCAUUGGUGUCACCAAGGGUAAGGGGUACGAAGGUGUCGUCACUCGCUGGGGUGUGACCCGCCUUCCCCGCAAGACCCACAGGGGUCUCCGAAAGGUUGCCUGUAUCGGUGCCUGGCAUCCUGCUAGGGUUUCCUACACUGUUGCUCGUGCUGGUCAGAAUGGUUACCACCACCGCACAGAGAUGAACAAAAAGAUUUACAAGAUGGGCAAGUCUGGACAGGAGUCUCACGAGGCCUGCACUGAGUUUGACAGGACUGAGAAGGACAUCACCCCGAUGGGUGGCUUCCCUCACUAUGGUGUGGUGAAGGGUGACUACCUCAUGAUCAAGGGCUGCUGUGUGGGCCCCAAGAAGAGAGUGGUGACCCUCCGCCAGUCCCUGUUGAAGCAGACAUCGCGGUUGGCCCUUGAGGAGAUCAAGCUCAAGUUCAUUGACACCUCAUCCAAGUUCGGGCAUGGCCGGUUCCAGACCACUGACGAGAAGCAGAAGUUCUACGGCAGGCUCAAGGCUUAGGCUGCGACAGAUCUUAUCCCAUAGUGUUACCAGCUUUUUUUCUUGCUUUGUGGCAGAUUGUUUGGGUAUCGGUUUAUGCAUUGCAAUUGCAACUCUGAGCUGCUGCGAAUGUUCGAACUGAUGAGGUUUAUGCAUUUUGAACUUUAUAGUAAUGCUAUUUGCAUGCCUUCAAAUUUGGAAGCUAAUGUUUCAGCUGCUGUAGCCUCUAAGUGGACAAUCGUGUUGCGUGUUUGUAGUCACGAUCUGGUAUCAAUCCUAUUCAUGAUCAGGGUCAUGGCGCAUAGAAUGAAGGAAAAUUUGGUUCAGAAAAAA